rnacentral:rRNA from 1 species
UGAACGCUAGCGGCAGGCCUAACACAUGCAAGUCAGGGGCAGCACGAAAUAGCUUGCAUUUUUGGUGGCGACCGGCGCACGGGUGCGUAACGCGUAUGCAACCUACCCAUAACAGGGAGAUAACACUGAGAAAUUCGGUACUAAUACCCCAUAACAUCAGAUGAGGCAUCUCAUUUGGUUGAAAGUUCCGGCGGUUAUGGAUGGGCAUGCGUUGUAUUAGCUAGAUGGCGGGGUAACGGCCCACCAUGGCGACGAUGUCUAGGGGUUCUGAGAGGAAGGUCCCCCACACUGGAACUGAGACACGGUCCAGACUCCUACGGGAGGCAGCAGUGAGGAAUAUUGGUCAAUGGUCUGACGACUGAACCAGCCAUGCCGCGUGAAGGUCACGGCCCUAUGGGUCUUAAACUUCUUUUUGCAAGGGAACAAUUAAGGUCUACGUGUAGAUCGAUGAGAGUACCUUGCGAAUAAGCAUCGGCCAACUCCGUG